AUUGGACGCUGGCGGCAUGCCCUACACAUGCAAGUCGAACGCGAAAGCGGGGCAACCCGCGAGUAGAGUGGCGAACGGGUGAGUAAUACAUCGGAACAUUUCCAGUAGCGGGGGAUAACCUGUCGAAAGAUAGGCUAAUACCGCAUACGCCCCACGGGGGAAAGCGGAGGACCGCCAGGCUUCGCACUAUUGGAGUGGCCCAUGUCGGAUUAGCUAGUUGGCGGGGUAACGGCCCACCAAGGCGACGAUCCGUAGCUGGUCUGAGAGGACGAUCAGCCACACUGGAACUGAGACACGGUCCAGACUCCUACGGGAGGCAGCAGUGGGGAAUUUUGGACAAUGGGCGCAAGCCUGAUCCAGCCAUGCCGCGUGAGUGAAGAAGGCCUUCGGGUUGUAAAGCUCUUUCGGCGGGGACGAAAAGGUCCGUGCUAACACCACGGACUAAUGACGGUACCCGAAGAAGAAGCACCGGCUAACUACGUGCCAGCCGCCGCUGUAACAC
rnacentral:rRNA from 1 species